GCUCGCUGCCGUGGAGGUGUGUGGCGCAGGCCAGGCCACGGUGUUGUCGCCAUCGAUGUCAACGCUCCCACCGCGUCGGCAGUCACUGGGUCGCCGGUGUGGCCCAACUCCAACUUGAGCAUCCCUGAAUCUUCACUGCCAUCCACACACAAGGAUGCACAGCUGGUGUUCGAGCCAAUGCCUAGGCUGUUUGACAAUCCUGAAGAUGCUGUUGCUGAUGUGAAGGAGCACAAGGAUGAUGCAAAGCUGUCGUUGGUAAGUACGUAUUUGAGAAGCAUACGAGGUCUGAACCGUGUCUGACAUGGCCACCAUUAGUAGGAGCUGGCUAAUUUCAGUGAGUUAUGUUCAUCAGGUCAGUUUGAUUCAGAUUGCACAUUAUGAUUGUUCCCUUGGAAUCCAGGUGGUUAUUUGCUCCUACUAUUCUAGUGUAACUCACAUUGGUAAUUGCCGAGCAUUACAGGUGCGGUCAGGACUAGCUAUUGGUGAGAUCCCUGCUGACUACUAGUACUAUUCUAGUGUUACAAAUUUUGGUCGCUGGCAUUGGUUCACUAGAGAUUGUUGAGCAGCAGUUCCUGGUUGUACAUGAGCAAGUCAGGCAGUUGGCUGGGUGUUUUUGUCGUUGAAAAUUGUAGAGCACUAGAGAGAGAUCAGGUGUAUGCAAUUCAGGAAUGGACACUUUUUUUUAAUAUAAAAUAAAAAUCAUGUACUAGAGCAUGCAUGCUACUGUAGGUAAUAUUCCUAGUCGUGAAAAAUUGCAGAGGACAAUGCAGACUUGAACAUGUUAGUGUGGUGGCAACCUUGUAGUCAAGGAAAAAAUUAAGUGGAGUGGGGCCAUGCUUCAAUCAUUUCUCACAUUGGUAAUUCGAAAUUAAUUUUCGUCGGAUAGCUAUACGACCAGACUGCAAAUGCUAUGGCCCACAAACUGGAUCAUCUAUAUUUUGUCUCUAAUCGUACAUGUUGGACGGGAAUUGAUCGUACGUAUAGCAAGGUUGUUGGUAAUUCCGAGUGUAGUAAUGAACAAUUUGGUGAAGCACUUGCUGACGUCGAUUCGCCGCCCCCACAACAAAUCCUGGCCACCGUCGACAGGGGAGAGCAGGCGGGAGAAAAAGGUCACCGGCGCCUGCCUGGAGGAACCAGACGAGUGGUAGCGGGUGGUGGCGAUGCACGGUACGGUCAGGGUCAACCGCAACAAGCUGAUGCGGGUCGCCGGCGAGGCGGCCGCGGCGGAGUUCUCCGGCGUCGCGUAUGCCAGAGCGUCGUCGAAGCCGUCCAACGCAUCCGCCGCCUCGUGUCCUGGAGGCCGGGGCUGGCGCGGGCGGCCACAACUACAAGGGCGCCUCCGCGUGUGCCGUGCUGGCCCACCUGGCCGGCGGGAACAGCUGCCACCUCUCUCAUCUGAAAUACUUUGGCAUGGUACGUACAGUUUGACCAGCCACAGGACCAGGUCAGUUAACCUACUCCUUUUAGUCUGCAUCAAGGUACAGAUCUUUUAUCUGAAUUUUAACAGUCUGGUGAUGUUUUCACUACACAAAGCCAUUUUACAGAAGUUGCUGAAAAAAUAUUUAUAUGUACACCAUGGUACCAUAACAAGGAUAUACGCACAAAAUAUUUAUAUGUACACCAUGGAAUCAAUGGGCUGCAAGUAUAUGUAUAUGUGCUCUAACUGAAUUUGAAUGAUUCACAUAACUGAAUUUAUAUGUACUCCUUAACUGAAUUCUGUAACUAACAAACCUAGCUCUUGCAAGUAACAACAUGUUCAAGAUCAAGGCUGACAGUAUGUUAUGACAGUACAGGAAAAAAGCCCUUGUUCGUUUGGUUCAGAGCUAUUGUCGAUAUGCAAUCUGAUGCUGCCGUUGAUUCUGACAGUAUGAAGUUUGCUGUUGCUGUGCUUAUUUUAACUCUAGGUGGGUGAAAAGCUACUGCAUAGUGUCUCUAGUAAAAUUGGUUGAUAGCACCUCUCUCUCAAAGAAAAAAGAGUUAGUUGAUCCGUCAGACCGCCGUCAAUACAAGCAGAGGGUUAGUUGACCUGAUCAGCUCUUAUCCCUCUUCCACAAAGUCCUGAUGGACUAGUGAAACAUGGAAAUGUUAACAAGUGCAGUGUCCAGAAAUCUGUAAAGCCAACUCCCUAACUGUUCAUCUUUGUAUGCUCACAUGACAGUCUGUACCAUAACAUGCAACGCAAUCUUCAGAAAGAAAAUGAGGACUGUACAAUUAGUACGUUAGGUUAUCAACUCUUGUUCACUGAAUUCUGCUCAAGGAAACAUUGUUGUUUAACAAAUGUAGGUGAAAGUUGGGCCCCUUUCAGUUUCCCCCAUGGGUUUUGGAACAUGGGCAUGGGGCAACCAGCUGCUUUGGGGCUACCAGGAAAUCAUGGAUAGUGAACUGCAGGAGUGUUUCAAUUUGGCUCUGAAGAAUGGCAUAAACCUUUUCGACACCGCCGACUCUUAUGGAACUGGGAAGUUGAAUGGCCAAAGCGAAAGGCUGCUUGGCAAAUUUAUCCGCAAGUGCCAAGGUUUGGAUUAUUGGAUAGCAUAUGCUCAAAAUGAAAAAAUAAAUAAAUGAAGAUGCAUCAGUACAGUUCUGAAGAGGGAGCGGUGGCAGUUGGCGGCGGCGGCCUCUGAGAGCACGCCGGACUAGUGUUUGCCCCAAACCCGGCAAGUGGCUAGGUUGGGGUCUCAGGUCUUAGAUGUUAGGCUUGGCUGCGAUGUCUGUUUGGUAUUAGGCCCAGGCUAUCUGCGCCCCUUCAUCAACGGGAUAGGUGUAGCGACAGUUUGUUGCUUAGACGGCGGCUUUAGUCUUACUGUUGUAUGACUUUGUAAGGUCUUGUGAGAAUAAUUAAUAAAGUGGCCGUAUGCAUCGCCCAGAUGCAGAGGCCGGGGGUCAUCCUCCUUUUCUAAAAAAAAUAUGCUCAAAAUGAAUUCAGCAACUAUGAACUGACGCUUGUUCCCUCAUUUGAACAUCAUUGGAGUAUUUGCAAACAAGGUAAAGCAAUCCAAGAUCAGCUAGGGCUUUCAACUUUGAUGAUUUUCUAGUUCAAAGCACUUUGACUACUCCACAAGAUUCAGUAAACUUUCCUACACUGGGCACUGUAAACUUUCAGUACACAAAAUUCAGUUAUCUUUUCAGCAGGAAAAUUUCUGUAACAGAUUUCAGAAGCCUCUCUUGUUGGCAAUAGUCAUUAUCAGUUUACUGUCCAUUUGUAGCCUAGCAUUCAGUUACCUUUUCACCCAUUUUUCUGUCCAUUCAGUUAUAUUUUCAGUAGGGAAAUCUCUGUAACAAAAAUUACAGUUUACUGUCCAUUUUUGUUUUGAUUUGAAAUAGUUGCCCAUUAGUCACAUUUUUGUCCAUUGGCUAUGGUAUACUUAUUGUAGUAGUAGUGAAAAUGGGUGCAGUUCAUGCACAGGCAAAUAUAGGCAUUAGCUGAGAGUAUAAUAAGAAUUGUGAAAAUGGGUGCCUCAAGUGGAGCAUCGACAAAACUUGACAGUAUAUGGGUGUUUCCUAUUUUUAAUCUUGUUUUCUAAUUCUAGUUUCGAGUACAGACCAGACUGGUUUAUAAACUGGUAGUAAACCUGAAACUAGUUCAUCUUUGUUCAUGUUCAACUAAUCUUUGUAUACUGAAACCUGAAACAUCUGUCAUAGUACUCCAGUAAACAUCUUUGUUCAUGUUCAACUAAUCUUUGUCACACUUGCGCGGGAGCAUCAACUCCAUGAUCAGCAGAUUGAAGUACGUCCACAUUGCAUUGGAUUUAAUAAUCCUCCUCUUGUGCAUUCAUCCCCUGCUUUUGGAUUCUGCAGGCAAGUUUGGUGAAGUGCUGGUUUUUUACUUUUACUGCCGUGUAAGGGCACAUUCCUGUUGGAGAUGGCAAAUGAACAGGAGAGAGACAAGCAAAUUGGAGAGGAGGAAGAGCAAGAACAAGAGUGAGAAGUAGAGGAUCUACUGCUGGGCGAGCAGUGAGGUGCUGGGCGCGGAGGAGGAGCAGUGCCUGGGCGUGGAGGAGUAGAUCAGGCGAGCGAAGCUUAGGGGAACGAGAUCCUCUGACUUGGGAACGCCUACUGCAGAGGGACGUUGUACAACCUGCACCGUCCAUCAGGCAUCCCACGACACACGCAUGGACUACAGCCUGCGCUCUCCUUGUUGCUCCGGUGGAAACAAAAAUAAAAGUUGAUCGGAAGAAGAUCCGACGGCCGGCUGCUCUGCUCGUCAAUCUCAAUAAGUCUCCAUAGUCCUUUCUCUGACAUCUAACUUUCACCAUCUGAUUACUUUAGAAAUUGAUCAAAUUUCCCUUUUCUGAUGGAAGAAGCAACAUGCUAGUUGAUCGGAAGGAGAUCCCCGGACCCGGCGAAGACGGCUGCUGUUGUUUGGCAAUCACAGGAAUUGUUCUCUGAUUGAAUUGAACAUAAAAACAUACUUAGUCUAUUUAAUUUCCAGGGACCAAUCGCAGAUGAUGUAUGUAUUUACUGGGUCAUGGUGAAGUAUUAGUGUUUUUGGGCAAUCAUGUGCUCUGUACUUGAAUGAGAGCACAAACAAGCAUGGUUUUGGCAAUUCAGUUCAGUUCUAGGUUCUAGUUGCUCAAUCCCUUUUGCACCUGCAAGUUGUCAUAUGUUCAACUCCCUGGGUUGGCAUCUCUUUUGUUCAAUGCACCUGCAAGUUCUCUAGGCAUGCAUGCUCAUUGUACAUUCAGCAGCCAAAACAAGCAUUAUGACUUGCAAGCCAUUGUAUUCC